GUAUGCCCUUCAGCCUUCUUUCCCUCACAUAACAUCUCACAAAACUAUGCUCCAUUUGUCAGAACUACGAAAUAAAUAUUGGUAAAGUACUAUUAACUAAAUUACAGACUCUUUUUGGGUUUCAACAGUUUUUCCAUUAAUGUUGUUUUCCUGUUCCAGGAUCCAAUCAAAGUUAUAUUUAGACCAUUUUUCCUUGUUAGUGAAUUUCCCUCUGAAGAUCUUCAAAUUCUUGCAAUCAAAUUUCACUUGCCUAAGUCAGUCAUGAACAUGCAAAGUGCUAAGUGAUUUUUAACAUAAAGCAGAUUUGAGAAAGAACUUCCUAUGAUAAUGCUUUCAUUAUUUUUGGGUUUACUGUCUAGAAUACCACUCAAGUAUCCGGAAUGACACAGAGAAGAUUGACUCUGUAUUUGACUUGUCAGUAGGCUGAGUCUGUAUUGUGGGUACAAGAUGAAUAAUACAAUUUUGGCGGUCCCCUCCAAAUCUGCACUCACUGUGGAAUAAGAGGGACUGAACUUCAAAUACUAGGACAUGGACCAGCUCUGUGUGAUCCUGGGCAAGUUACUUAAACAUUGGCUUUGGGUUCCUUGUCUGUAACCUAUCACUUGAUUAGGCAUUCCAGACUUACAUGCUUAACACGGAACACUUGAUCCCUUCUCCGCCCUGUGCUUCCAGUUGUUGCCUCUCCUUAGUGAACAAUGUCCCCUUCAAGCCACUGGAAGCCCAAUAGGUGUCAUGCACUCUUUCCUGCCUUCCUCAUCUUCCACAUCUGGGCAUCACCAUGUCCCCCCAGCUGACUGUCCCAAUGAUACCUCGAAUUUCUCAGUUUCUCUUUGUUUCCACUAUUAGUAUCCCAGUUCAUGUGAUCCUCACCUCUUAUUUGGUUUACUGCAACAGUUUCCUAAUUAUCCUUUCUGAUGCUAAUUUUACUUUUUUUUUUUUUUUUAAGAUUUUAUUUAUUUAUUUGACAGAGAGAGACACAGCAAGAGAGGGAACACAAGUAAGGGGAGUGGGAAAGGGAGAAGCAGGCUUCCCGCGGAGCAGGGAGCCCGAUGCGGGGCUCGAUUCCAGGACCCCGGGAUCAUGACCUGAGCCGAAGGCAGACGCUUAACAACUGAGCCACCCAGGCGCCCCAUGGUGAGGUGAGUUAAUGAAAAGAAUCAGAACAGCUUCCAUCCCUCACUUGACUACUUACCGUCCUCACUGCAGCAAAACAAGCUGGAUCCAGGUCAGCUGAGUAAGAGCUGGCCAGUAAGAUGGACUCAAGAAGAAACUACUACCAUCGGGGAGAAUUUUCCAGGUACAUCACUGCUCCUCCAUACAUAAGAUGAGAAAAGAAGAAAAUAAUACUUUUCAGCUUCAUUUACUUCUCUAAUUUGAAUCUUUAUAAAGACAUUUUACAAAAACAUAUGAUCAUGUGAACACAUUGCUCAGAUUUCCUUGGGACCUUGAAAUGGGCUUAUGCAAGCAAGGAGCCUGAAAUGUACUCAUCUGCGGCUUCACUGUAAAUCUACCUCUGUCCAAUCACUACCCUCUUCAAAGGUAUAUCCUCCCUGAAGAUAAAAUCAUUAUUUUAUCCGAUGAAAUAAGUGGUUAGUCCUGCGUCUGAUUCUCUCCUUUCAGGUAAAA